GUGACAGGUUCAGAGCCAUAAUAACCAGAUGUGCUCCGUGACAGGUUCAGAGCCAUAAUAACCAGAUGUGCUCCGUGACAGGUUGAGCCAUAAUAACCAGAUGUGCUCCGUGACAGGUUCAGAGCCAUAAUAACCAGAUGUGCUCUGUGACAGGUUCAGAGCCUUAAUAACCAGAUGUGCUCCGUGACAGGUUCAGAGCCUUAAUAACCAGAUGUGCUCUGUGACAGGUUCAGAGCCUUAAUGUAUGGUACCGUGCACCAGCCUAAGAAGACCAAACCAGUGAGUGAGGGGAGACAGGCGAGGAUGGACCAAAUGAGAAAGAUUUACCUCCUCUACAGAGCACCAGACAUGCUGACCCCUCAGGUGAAUGUGCAGAGAGACUCCAUGGCCACCAGGGGUCUCUGUAGAGCACAUGACAGACAGCAACAGGACCUCUGGGAGAACGAGGUGGACAAACUGGUGGCCUGGACACACUCACUGUCAUUCGAGGAGUUGGAGGAGGAGUGAUGCCUCCACGUGCACAAACUCGAGCACGUACAUACACGCCUUGCAAUUGGAUACACUUGAC
rnacentral:lncRNA from 1 species